rnacentral:lncRNA from 1 species
GGUAUUGGUGUGAUUUUUAUAGAACGCCAUUCCAUUGGAAUGGAAAUUCACAAUUUGAUAUUUUGUUAUUAUAAAAACCAACUAGCGCUGCUUUUGUUUCAUCGUUCAAAGCAUUUUACAUUUCAUACGUAAUUUUAUCCAAUCCUACAGCUGUUAUCUUGUUACGGCCAAGAACCUCUUCGAGAUCUUCCACAGUGAAUUCUAAGAUUAUUUAUAACCUUCCAAGCUUCUCUGCAGUUUGAAUUUAUGUAUGUUAAUUUCUGUUAUUGUACGGGCGUAGCUGGUUUUUUUUCCUGCUUUUUUCCAUUUUAUCUUUGCCUCAAACGCCCUACAGUACUUUUGAAAAGAAGGUUCUGCAUUCACGGAAUUCACGGAGUCACGGAAUCAUCUUAAAAGUUCAGCAUGACUCUCAUCCCACCAUAGUUUUGGUUUUUUUUUUUGUCGCAUUUGAUAUGUUGCAGCUCUUAUUUCUCUGCCAAAAUGUUUUGCUAGACUUUCUAUAUUUCCAUUUAUUUUAACCUAUAUUUGUUAAUAGUCUUUUCUUGGCAAGAAAUCUUACAGCCUUCUCUUUUUUUCCAGCCAUAUCAAAAACUAUCGGAUGAUGAUGACUGCCUCCCAGAAAAAAUUUUUCGUUUUUCCAGUUUUCUAUUUUAAUUUCUUUCACAAAAGUCAGAUCCAAUACAAAGCCUACAUUUGCAUCAAUGUUUCUUCUGAAAGUAACACUGCCAUCAUUUGCCAGUAUGUAACCCGCAUUAUUCAUAGCCUGUCUCAAAAAAGUUCCUUUCCUUUUAUUGACUGUGUCUCCAAAGCCAGUUUGUCUUGCAUUGAAGUCUCCUGCUAUUACGCAUCUUUCAAAUGAAUCGAGCUUCUCUAUGAGCCUGUCUAUUGUCUGCUUAAAAAUGGUGAGUGGUAUCAGGGGUUCAAAGUAUGCAGAUGAGAUGACUACAUUUAGUCCGCCUACACUAGUUUUAGCUAUUACAAUAUCUUGAUUGGUUUCAAAAACGAUUCUUUUUAGAUAUAAACUCUUUUUAUGAGCGAUGGCCACCCCUUCAUAGCCAUCUUCUCUGUGUUUUUCAAUGAGAUUAUAUUUUUUUUUUUUGAUGAGUCCGCAUUGACCAGGUACAAAUGUUACUAAAAAUUUUGAACUCAAAAAGGAGUUGUUUGCCGAACGAACACUCAAAAAAAUGUUCAAUGAGAUUAUAGUUUUCUAUUUUUCUAAAACUAAGAUCAUGAGAGAAC